rnacentral:rRNA from 1 species
AUUGAACGCUGGCGGCAGGCCUAACACAUGCAAGUCGAACGAGUGGCGGACGGGUGAGUAAUGUCUGGGAAACUGCCUGAUGGAGGGGGAUAACUACUGGAACCGGUCGCUAAUCCCGCAUACCAUCAGAUGUGCCCAGGUGGGCUUCGCUAGUUGGUGGGGUAACGGCGCACCAAGGUGACGAUCCCUAGCUGGUCUGAGAGCAUGACCAGCCACACUGGAACUGAGACACGGUCCAGACUCCGACGGGAGGCAGGAGUGGGGAAGAUUGCAAAAUGGGCGCAAGCCUGAUGCAGCCAUGCCGCGUGUAUGAAGAAGGCCUUCGGGUUGUAAAGUACUUUCAGCGGGGAGGCGUUACCCGCAGAAGAAGCACCGGCUAACUCCGUGCCAGCAGCCGCGGUAAUAC